rnacentral:rRNA from 1 species
AGUUGGUGUGGUAAAGGCGCACCAAGCCGACGAUCCUUAGCUGGUCUGAGAGGAUGAUCAGCCACACUGGGACUGAGACACGGCCCAGACUCCUACGGGAGGCAGCAGUGGGGAAUAUUGGACAAUGGGCGAAAGCCUGAUCCAGCAAUGCCGCGUGAGUGAUGAAGGCCUUAGGGUUGUAAA